GCAGACUAAUACAGACCUCCAGUAUAGUGCUGGCCUAUACCCUUUCUCAGCACUGUUCUAAAAGAAUAUAUACUCAGAAUUUUAAUGAACAUUCCCCAGGUCUGCUACUUCUCCAUAUUUCUGACAGGUGGGAUAUAAAGAUGGCUGGGGUUACAUGGUAGACAACAGAGUGUGUUUUCUAGCAAUGAGUUGGUAAGAAACCCAGCUCAUCAAGCACACACUAAAGUCAUCAUUAUAGACUUCUUUAAUUAUCAGACCCAUGGUUUCUUUUAAAUCAGGAAGGUUUUUUUUUUUUCUUGAGUAUUUAUUUUUUUUACUUUUCCUGUGAGCAAAUCUCUUGAUCACCUGGAUGAAUUUAUUGUUCAUGCCUCUGUUCAAAAAACUUUGACAUUCACCAUUGCUUUCAGAAUAGCUGGAAGACUUGCCAAUUCAUAGUUGCAAAGACCUACAAUGAUGCCUUAGCGACUACUCCUCCUCAUGCGAACUUCCAAUCAGGUCAAAAAGUGGUGCAUUAGUGUCCUACUGACCGGCCUUGUUCUUCCACCUCCACACAUUUUUGCAUCUCAUUGCCUCUGCCUCAUGUGCCCUGUUAGCACAGCCGUCCAGAUCCAAUCUGAAGGACACUUGCUACUUUUACCUCCUACCUGCUCAGAGAAGGCUUUGGUAACCAUGCCAGGCAAUGACUCAGUACAGGAAGCUUUAUUCUUGUUGUGUCACGCUACAUUCACAGGGUAAAUGUGAAUAAAUACUUGUUGAUCUAAAUGUAUUUCUCUAUAGAAAGAGCCAUUGAAUCUCUAAGGCACUUCUUGCCUGUAUCAGUCAUUUGGAAAUGAAUCACGAACCUUCUUAGGCCUGUCCAUAUGUAUUUUUGUGGCCUGUGAUUUACAUUUUCUAUUGUUAUUGCACUUUCUACCUCCUGAGUGAACUAAACUGAAAGUUUCUUGAGGACUACCUCUCAUGGAUGAGAUUUGGAGCCAGGAAAGAGCACGGGUUCCCACCUGGACUUCCCCACUUGCUAAAAUUACACAGUUGGUCACAUUGGACCCAAAGGAGACAGUCUGAAAAUUUAUUGAAAGUGAUGGAAUUUUCCAGUUAUGAAGCAGAAUCUUAAUAAUUCAGAGACAUCUCACUGCAGUAAAUGUCCCUGCAAAAGCUAAAUCAAGAAAUGGGAAAUCUUGUUGGAGUUUGCUGAACGCCUUCUGAAGAUUCCUGAAUUCAUAAACCAAGGACAUGGCGACAGAGCGCACUGGUCACUCUCCUCACAUCCAUCCCUCCUUACUUUUCCCAGCCAAUGGAACCUUAGUUUGUUAGAGGCGGCUGCUGAGACCUCUCGCUCUCUAGGAGAGGAGGUCCCUGCCCCAGGGUCCGGGAUGAAUCAUGAUUGGUCUAAACCGCCUUAGCCAUCUUGUUCAACUUUGUCUGGGAGUGACCGUGUGAAAAGUGUUGGCCAAUGAGAUAGAAAUGGAAGUUUGGGGGUGAGGCUGCACGGAAAGCUCUUGCCCUUGUCAGCUUUUCUGCUUGGGAUGAAGGUAUGGUCCCUGGAAGCACAGCAGACAUUGGUGACCAUGAGAUGACAAACAUCAGGAUGAAAGUCGAUUUUCUAAGGAUGGUAGGGCUGGAUAGUACAUCACUGACAGCAUCGCUGAAUUCAUGGAAUAGCUGUAUGCCAGUGCUGCUUUCCUUUGGGUUUCUUGUGAUAUGACACAAAGUUUUAUUUAUUUACACUACUAUUUGUAGGAGUUUCUGUUACUUACAGCCUCUAGGAUAUUAAAUGGAACCAUAAGAUA